rnacentral:tRNA from 1 species
GGGGCAUUAGCUCAGCUGGGAGAGCGCAUGACUGGCAGUCAUGAGGUCAGCGGUUCGAGCCCGCUAUGCUCCACCA